rnacentral:rRNA from 1 species
CCUACGGGAGGCAGCAGUGAGGAAUAUUGGUCAAUGGGCGUAAGCCUGAACCAGCCAAGUCGCGUGAGGGAUGAAGGUUCUAUGGAUCGUAAACCUCUUUUAUCAGGGAAUAAAGUGUGGGACGUGUCCUAUUUUGUAUGUACCUUAUGAAAAAGGAUCGGCUAACUCCGUGCCAGCAGCCGCGGUAAUACGGAGGAUCCGAGCGUUAUCCGGAUUUAUUGGGUUUAAAGGGUGCGUAGGCGGACUUUUAAGUCAGCGGUGAAAUUUGGUGGCUCAAACAUAGAAUUGCCGUUGAAACUGGGGGGCUUGAGUAUGUGUGAGGCAGGCGGAAUGCGUGGGGUAGCGGUGAAAUGCUUAGAUAUCACGCAGAACCCCGAUUGCGAAGGCAGCCUGCCAAGCCAUGACUGACGCUGAUGCACGAAAGCGUGGGGAUCAAACAGGAUUAGAUACCCCUGUAGUC